rnacentral:lncRNA from 1 species
GACAAUGGGCAACCCGCAGCCCUCGCGGCUGCUCUCUCUCUGGAGUAGCCAUUCUUUUAUUCCUUUACUUUUCCUGAUAAACUUGCUUUCACUUUACAGACUUGCCCUGAAUUAUUUGUUGCACGAGAUCAAAGAACCCUCUCUUGGGGUCUGGGUCGGGACCGCUUUUCAGUAACAUCUUUCUGGUGAUCACGGAAGAGACUAUAGUGUGGAAACACCCGACCCAAAGGCUAACUUUGAGCCCGGUGUGGUGGCACGCACCUGUAAUCCCAGCUACUCAGGAGGCUGAGGCAGGAGAAUCGCUUGAACCCCAGCGACAGAGGUUGCAGUGAGCUGAGAUCGCACCACUGCACUCCAGCCUGAGCGACAGAGCAAGACUCUGUCUCAAAAACAACAACAACAAACAACAACAACAAAAAACCAAAGGCUAACUUUGGGUAAGUGAUGGGGUUCAGUAACAUCUUUCUGGCAAAUCAUGGAAGGGACGAUACUGAAGAAACCCCCGACCCAAAGGAAAUAGACUGGAGCACUGAUUGGCCGACUUUGGAUUAAUCUGCCUUGCACUCUUUGCUGAUGGCUGUGGGUGACAGCAUUAAGCGUGUACAGGAUCGUGGGACAUAGGGAGCUUUUUUCUCCCUAAAAGGGGAAACUUGAGAGCUGAUGGGACUUCUGGAAAAGAUCCCUUCACGACCGACAAGCAGCCGCCUGGACUUUUCAGUGUCACUGCAAUGGGUGGGUCUUUCUCUGGCCUCCCCGAGCACCUCACCUUCCUCACCUUCCUCACCUUCCCCACCCUGCCUCAGGCAAUGCAUUCCUCUCUCUCUGUGCAAAUGGGUUAAAUGGUAAAAAUCACUGUUUAUCUCCUCUAUGAAGUUUUGAUGAAUGGAAGAAAGGAUUUGCGAGGCUAAUCUUAAACUGUAGUGAAUCUGGUGUGCUUUGCCUGUCUUUCUGUGUUCUGUGAUGGAGAGGAGUAUCUUAGGACAGAAUGAGGGCCUAGGACACCUAUAAGCCCGCUGUUCAGAGACGGCCCAGCACACUGGUCAGUUAAAAACUUCGGCCGGGUGCGGUGGCUCACGCCUGUAAUCCCAGCACUUUGGGAGGCUGAGGCGGGCAAAUCACAAGGUCAGGAGUUCGAGACCAGCCUGACCAACAUGGUGAAACUCCGUCUCUACUAAAAAUACAAAAAUUAGCUGGGCGUGGUGGUGAGCGCCUGUAAUCCCAGCUACUCAGGAGGCUGAGGCAGGAGAACCGCUUGAAUUCAGGAGAUGGAGGUUGCAGUGAGCCGAGAUCACGCCGCUGCACUCCAGCCUGGGCGACAGAGUGGGAUUCCGUCUCAAAACAAACAAACAAACAAAAACUUUGCUGCAGGUCCCUGAAAAAAACUGGAUGAGGUUCCCUUCUUGUCUUGUAUGUCCUUGGGAGCUCGACCUUGUAACCAUGUGGCUGUGCUUUCUCUUUCCACAGUGGCAGCCUGGGUUCAGGGUCCAAUUCCUGGCUUGAGGAAUGAGUCCUUUAUCUUCUGUCUGUCUGCGUAUUUAUGUGUGUCGUGUGUGUGACGUUUACAUAUAAAAGAGCUUGGGUUGAUUGGCUUAAAAACAAGUGCUUAAAUCAAAUAUUUUGACAGAAAAGUAUAAAGUAUAAUGCCUUUUAGUUCAUGUGACUUAAGUAAUCUUUGGGAAACAGUUUUAAAGAUUAUUGGUAAAAUAAAAAUAUCUUCAAAAAUGUAAAUAUUUGGUCUAACUUAUGCAGGUCAGAUGUUUGCUAAAUGCUUUGAGGUUAUAAACUGCUUCUUUGACUUUUGGAAAUUGUUCAGUUUACCUACCUUGCUGUGUAUGAACAUAUUGGCUA